rnacentral:tRNA from 1 species
GGUCCUGUAGAUCAACGGGCAAAGCGCCGGACUUCGAAUCUGGAGAUUUUAGGUUCUAGUCCUGCCAGGAUCG